AUGUCAUAUGUUUACAUUGUGCAGAUUUAUGCAGUCGGAUCUUCCUCCAAUAAUGGAAUAUAUGCACUGGAUUUUCAUCCAGAUACAAGCUCUGCAUGCCAUGUGGACUACAAUGAGGAAACAAAAGGCUCUGAGGAAAAUCAACCUGCAGAAAACAAGUUUAUUCCCUUAUCCGAAAGGGUGCUUUCCUGUGCAGCCCAUCCACUCAGUCAUGACAUAAUUUGUGGUACCGAGUUCUCGUCGUUGCUCAUGGUAUCACAAAAGCAUGAGACCGUCAGAGAUCCAGAGUAG
rnacentral:rRNA from 1 species